UACGUAGGGAGCAAGCGUUGCUCGGAAUCACUGGGCGUAAAGGGUGCGUAGGCGGGUCUUUAAGUCAGGGGUGAAAUCCUGGAGCUCAACUCCAGAACUGCCUUUGAUACUGAGGAUCUUGAGUUCGGGAGAGGUGAGUGGAACUGCGAGUGUAGAGGUGAAAUUCGUAGAUAUUCGCAAGAACACCAGUGGCGAAGGCGGCUCACUGGCCCGAUACUGACGCUGAGGCACGAAAGCGUGGGGAGCAAACAGG
rnacentral:rRNA from 1 species